GCCAAGAAGCAAACAGGGAUGUAUGCCUUGCCUGGAAAGGGAAAAGACUCUUUUCUGUCCUUUCUGGUUAUACUCCUGGAACCCUACGUGUGACACAGUUGGCUGCAGCAGCUCAUCCAGGGCGAAUUCACACACGUUUCAGAGAUCAUCAAGCUUCAGAUAAUCAUGCGACAAGGCUUCCAGCCAGCUCCAGGUGAAGGCACCGUCCCCCGCCAUCAAGAAGCACCCUGUCUCCACGCGACAGAGUGGAGUGAGAGUUCUGGAAUCUCCAACAGUGGCAGGACUUGGCAAUCUAAAGUGCAGCAGGAGCAAAAAUUCAAGACACUGUACAGGCAAUACGAGAUUGUGUGGUUCAGAAUACAAGCUCAUCUCAUAACCUUACUUUUUUCAGGUAAACUUAAGCAGAUUCUAGAAUGCUUAAAUACAUAUUGCUGUUACCUGAAAUCAAUUUGUUAGAAGUCUCCUUUAUAGUCUCUUUCAUUCAUUUUAUAAACCAUGCAAGCACGAAUUCAAGGCAAUAUUUACCUUUUGUCUUACGCAAAGAGUUUAAAAAGUUUCUUAAGGAUAACUUCCAUUUAUGAACUUUAGGAUUAUUGGUAAAGUAGUCAUCUGUGUACUUAUAAUUACACCUAUGUACUUAUAAUUAAUUUGCUUUAUAAAAAAUAUAUAGAAUGAAGUUAAUUUAGAAGGGUGCUUUUUCUCUAGGCUCAUAUUUUCUAAAGUACAACACUUUCACUUCUGCCUUAGUUGUUGGAAGAGAGAUAUCCUUCUGAAUCUAUCUAUGUAUGAUGCUGUCAAUGGAUAUUUUAUCUCAGAUCUCAAAAGUACCUCUUUGUAUAACAUUAAGAAAGCGAUUUUAAAAUUUAUCCUCAGUGUAUGGUUGAAAAUAAAUGUAACCAUUCAUUUUAUCGCUUUUUAAGUCAUCUUUAAAACUUUUGUUUACAAAACUAUCUAACUAAAUUUGUGUAAAAUAUAUUAUUUUCCCUUUUUAAAAACAAUUCUGUCAGCUGAUCAGUAUUACAUGUUACAAAUUAAUAUUAACUGAGGUGAUAUUGGGCUAAUGUGUUGUGGCAGAGAGUAUAAUGCUCAACAAAUACAUUUCUUUUCCUACACUUCCCAGCCCCCUUGCACUUUUUUCUUUGAGACAGGGUCUCACUCUGUUGCCCAAGCUGGAGUGUAGUGGUG